rnacentral:rRNA from 1 species
UCGAGAAUCUUCGGCAAUGGGCGCAAGCCUGACCGAGCGACGCCGCGUGUGCGAUGAAGGCCUUCGGGUUGUAAAGCACUGUCGAGGGGGAGAAAGCCGCAAGGUUGAUCGACCCCUGGAGGAAGCACGGGCUAAGUUCGUGCCAGCAGCCGCGGUAAGACGAACCGUGCGAACGUUAUUCGGAAUCACUGGGCUUAAAGGGCGCGUAGGCGGGCUAUCAAGUCAGAGGUGAAAUCCUGCGGCUCAACCGCAGAAGUGCCCCUGAUACUGGUAGUCUCGAGGGAGGUAGGGGCAUGUGGAACUUCCGGUGGAGCGGUGAAAUGCGUAGAUAUCGGAAGGAACGCCGGUGGCGAAAGCGACGUGCUGGACCUCUUCUGACGCUGAGGCGCGAAAGCCAGGGGAGCGAACGG